rnacentral:rRNA from 1 species
GCAAGUCGAGCGGACCGACGGGAGCUUGCUCCCUUAGGUCAGCGGCGGACGGGUGAGUAACACGUGGGUAACCUGCCUGUAAGACUGGGAUAACUCCGGGAAACCGGGGCUAAUACCGGAUGCUUGAUUGAACCGCAUGGUUCAAUCAUGAAAGGCGGCUUCGGCUGCCGUUUACAGAUGGACCCGCGGCGCAUUAGCUAGUUGGUGAGGUAACGGCUCACCAAGGCGACGAUGCGUAGCCGACCUGAGAGGGUGAUCGGCCACACUGGGACUGAGACACGGCCCAGACUCCUACGGGAGGCAGCAGUAGGGAAUCUUCCGCAAUGGACGAAAGUCUGACGGAGCAACGCCGCGUGAGUGAUGAAGGUUUUCGGAUCGUAAAGCUCUGUUGUUAGGGAAGAACAAGUACCGUUCGAAUAGGGCGGUACCUUGACGGUACCUAACCAGAAAGCCACGGCUAACUACGUGCCAGCAGCCGCGGUAAUACGUAGGUGGCAAGCGUUGUCCGGAAUUAUUGGGCGUAGAGCGCGCGCAGGCGGUUUCUUAAGUCUGAUGUGAAAGCCCCCGGCUCAACCGGGGAGGGUCAUU